AUGAACAAAGCUAGUGGAGGUGAUGGAAUUCCAGUGGAGUUAUUUCCAAUCCUGAAAGAUGACACUGUGAAAGUGCUGCACUCAAUAUGCCAGCAAAUUUGGACAACUCAGCAGUGGCCUCAGAACUGGAAAAGGUCAGUUUUCAUUCCAAACCCAAAGAAAGGCAAUGCCAAAGAAUGCUCAAACUACCGCACAAUUGCACUCAUCUCACACGCUGGUAAACUAAUGCUCAAAAUUCUUGAAGCCAGGCUUCAGCAAUACAUGAACCGUGAACUUCCAGAUGUUCAAGCUGGUUUUAGAAAAGGCAGAGGAACCAGAGAUCAAAUUGCCAACAUCCGCUGGAUCAUCAAAAAAGCAAGAGAAUUCCAGAAAAACAUCUAUUUCUGCUUUAUUGACUAUGCCAAAGCCUUUUACUGUAUGGAUCACAAUAAACUGUGGAAAAUUCUGAAAGAGGUGGGAAUACCAGACCACCUGACCUGCUUCUUGAGAAACCUGUAUGCAGGUCAGGAAGCAACAGUUAGAACUAGACAUGGAACAACAGACUGGUUCCAAAUAGGAAAAGGAGUACGUCAAGGCUGCAUGUUGUCACCCUGCUUAUUUAACUUAUAUGCAGAGUACAUCAUGAGAAACGCUGGGCUGGAAGAAGCACAAGCUGGAAUUAAGAUUGCCAGGAGAAAUAUCAAUAACCUCAGAUAUGCAGAUGACACCACCCUUCUGGCAGAAAGUGAAGAGGAACUAAAAAGCCUCUUGAUGAAAGUGAAAGAGGAGAGUGAAAAAGUUGACUUAAAACUCAACAUUCAGAAAACUAAGAUCAUGGCAUCUGGUCCCAUCCCUUCAUGGGAAAUAAAUGAGGAAACAGUGGAAACAGUGUUAGACUUUAUCUUUUUGGACUCCAAAAUCACUGCAGAUGGUGACUGCAGCCAUGAAAUUAAAAGACACUUACUCCUUGAAAGGAAAGUUAUGACCAACCUAGACAGCAUAUUAAAAAGCAGAGACAUUACUUUGCCAACAAAGGUCCAUCUAGUCAAGGCUAUGAUUUUUCCAGUGGUCAUGUAUGGAUGUGAAAGUUGGACUGUGAAGAAGGCUGAGCGCCAAAGAAUUGAUGCUUUUGAACUAUGGUGUUGGAGAAGACUCUUGAGAGUCCCUUGGACUGCAAGGAAAACCAACCAGUCCAUCCUAAAGGAGAUCAGUCCUGAGUGUUCAUUGGAAGGACUGAUGUUGAAACUGAAACUCCAAUACUUUGGCCACCAGAUGUGA
rnacentral:lncRNA from 1 species